rnacentral:rRNA from 1 species
UUGAUCCUGGCUCAGGACGAACGUUGGCGGCGUGCUUAACACAUGCAAGUCAAGGGGAAAGGUUGUCUUCGGACGGCCGAGUAUACUGGUCGAGUGGCGGACGGGUGAGUAACACGUGAGCAACCUGCCCGGAAAAGGGGGAUAGCCCGAGGAAACUCGGAUUAAUACCGCGUAUGGUCUGGCACGGCAUCGUGCUAAGAUUAAAGGUGGCUUCGGCUGCCGUUUCCGGAUGGGCUCGCGGCCUAUCAGUUUGUUGGUGGGGUAACGGCCUACCAAGGCGACGACGGGUAGCUGGUCUGAGAGGAUGAUCAGUCACACUGGAACUGAGACACGGUCCAGACACCUACGGGUGGCAGCAGUCGAGAAUCAUUCACAAUGGGCGAAAGCCUGAUGAUGCGACGCCGCGUGGAGGAUGACGGUCUUAGGAUUGUAAACUCCUGUCAUCGGGGAGUAAAGCUCUGGCGUUAAUAGCGUCAUGAGCCUGAUAGUACCCGAAGAGGAAGGGGCGGCUAACUCCGUGCCAGCAGCCGCGGUAACACGGAGGCCCCGAGCGUUGUUCGGAUUUACUGGGCGUAAAGAGUGCGUAGGCGGCGAGGUAAGUCAGAUGUGAAAUCUCGGGGCUCAACCCCGAAACUGCAUCCGAUACUGCCUUGCUAGAGGGCUGGAGAGGAAACUGGAAUUGGUGGUGUAGCAGUGAAAUGCGUAGAUAUCAUCAGGAAGACCAAUGGCGAAGGCAGGUUUCUGGACAGCUCCUGACGCUGAGGCACGAAGGCCAGGGUAGCGAAAAGGAUUAGAUACCCUUGUAGUCCUGGCAGUAAACGGUGUGCGCUUGGUGUGGGAGGUUUCGACCCCUUCCGUGCCGGAGCUAACGCGUUAAGCGCACCGCCUGGGGAGUACGGCCGCAAGGCUAAAACUCAAAGAAAUUGACGGGGACCCGCACAAGCGGUGGAGUAUGUGGCUUAAUUCGAUGCAACGCGAAGAACCUUACCUAGGUUUGACAUGUAGGGAUAAACCGGUGAAAGCCGGGGAGCGUAGCAAUACGCAAUUUGCACAGGUGCUGCAUGGCUGUCGUCAGCUCGUGUCGUGAGAUGUUGGGUUAAGUCCCGCAACGAGCGCAACCCCUGUGAUUAGUUACCAGCGAGUAAAGUCGGGGACUCUAGUCAGACUGCCCAGAUCAACUGGGAGGAAGGUGGGGACGACGUCAAGUCAGUAUGGCCCUUACGCCCAGGGCUGCACACGUACUACAAUGCCCAGUACAAUGAGAACCGAGACUGCAAAGUGGAGGAAAUCUAUAAAACUGGGCCCAGUUCGGAUUGUGGGCUGCAACUCGCCCACAUGAAGCCGGAAUCGCUAGUAAUGGCGCAUCAGCUACGGCGCCGUGAAUACGUUCCCGGGUCUUGUACACACGCCCGUCACAUCAUGGAAGCCGGCAGCGCCCGAAGUAUCCGUGCUAACUUCGUGAAGCAGGAUCCUAAGGUGAAGCUGGUAACUGGGAUGAAGUCG